AGUGAACGCUGGCGGCGUGCUUAACACAUGCAAGUCGAACGAGAACGGAAUAUAGCUUGCUAUAUUUGUCAGCUAAGUGGCGCACGGGUGAGUAAUAUAUAGAUAACCUGCCCUUAAGAAAGGAAUAACAGUUGGAAACGACUGCUAAUGCCCUAUAUGCCUUUAAUACAUAAGUAUGCAAGGGAAACGCUUUAGUGCUUAAGGAUGGGUCUGUAUGGUAUCAGCUUGUUGGUGAGGUAAUGGCUCACCAAGGCUAUGACGCCUAACUGGUUUGAGAGGGUGAUCAGUCACACUGGAACUGAGACACGGUCCAGACUCCUACGGGAGGCAGCAGUGGGGAAUAUUGCACAAUGGACGAAAGUCUGUUGCAGCAACGCCGCGUGGAGGAUGACACAUUUCGGUGCGUAAACUCCUUUUAUAUAGGAAGAUAAUGACGGUACUAUAUGAAUAAGCACCGGCUACCUCCAUGCCAGCCGCCGCCGUAA
rnacentral:rRNA from 1 species